GACGAACGCUGGCGGCGUGCUUAACACAUGCAAGUCGAGCGGUAAGGCCCUUUCGGGGUACACGAGCGGCGAACGGGUGAGUAACACGUGGGUGACCUGCCCUCAGCUCUGGGAGUAAGCCUGGGAAACCGGGUCUAAUACUGGAUAUGACUCCAUGACGCAUGUUGUAGGGGUGGAAAGCCUUGUGCGGCUGAGGAUGGGCCCGCGGCCUAUCAGCUUGGUUGGUGGGGUGAAGGCCCUACCAAGGCGGACGACGGGUAGCCGGCCGUGAGAGGCGACCGGCCACACUGGGACUGAGACACGGCCCAGA
rnacentral:rRNA from 1 species